rnacentral:tRNA from 1 species
GGUAGGAUGGCUGAGCCAAGCGGUGGAUUGUAGCCCCAUAGACAGAGGUUUGAGUCCUCUUCUUACCA